CUGCUGUGGCUCUGGUUACACCAGUGGCGAGGAUUUGAUCUCUGGCCCGGGAACUUCGGCAGGUCGAAGGUGUAGCCAAAAAAAAAAAAGAGAGAGAGAGAGAGAGAAACUACAGACACAGGAAAAAACACGGAUGGUUGUAAAACUAGCAAAAUCAGCCAGCCGAGGGCUGACAGGGCUGGGGCUCGGGGCGCAGAAAAGAGGCAACACACAGAGAUGGUAUUUACAUGAAGUUCUGGAACAGGAAAUCCUAAGACACGGCGAUAAAAUCAGAAGGCGGCUGCCCCUCGGGUGAGGCAGGAGGCCAGGCAGGAAGGAGCUCCAGGGCGGAGGCAGCGUUUGCACAGAUGCUCACGCCUCUCGAGAACGCUGAGCAGACACUCAAGAUACAAGGAACGAAGCGAAAAUCAGAAGAUGGAGAAGGCUUCACGGCAUGUACGGCGUGGCGCUGGCAGCUCCAAGCGACGACGGGGUAAGUGGCCCACGAAGAAGGUGAGCAAGAAGGACCAAGAGAUUCGUGGAAGAAGCAGCCGCAAAUGAAAGGGAAACCAGCGUUCGACCUCACGAGCCACCCAUCCCGCCGUCACUUCUCCUGGAAAAGGAAAACCAGGAGUUCCCAUCAUGGCUCAGCAGUAACGAAGCCAACUAGCAUCCAUGAGGACGCAGGUUCGAGCUCUGGCCUCACUCAGGGGGUUCGAGCCCUGGCCUCACUCAGGGUCCGGCGUGGCCGUGAGCUGUGGCGUAGACCACAGACAUGGCUCAGAUCCCGCGUUGCUGUGGCUGUGGUGUAGGCUGGCGGCUAGAGCUCCGAUUCAACCCCUAGGCUGGGAACUUCCAUACACAUGGGUGCAGCCAUAAAAAGACUAAAAAAUAAAAAAUAAAAGGAAAACCAAACUACACCACUAGGACUGACGAGCAAACUGAGUCGGGGAAAAAGAACGUGUCUCUGGUUCUUGGUUUCACUCCCGGGGCGGCGCUCAGAGCUGCGUUUGGGGCAGUUUCACUCACCCUCCCCGAGCAGGGCGCACCCAGGAAGGUACGUCGGCAGAGGAAAGUCUCUGUUGAUCGGAUAGAUUCCGAGGAUGCUGCCCAAGGGCCUCCGGGCCGUGUCUGCAGGUGUAGGCGCUCAGUGGUGUCACCAGGCUGCUGCCAGGCGCUCUAGGAUUGACCGGCAUUGCCCGCCUUACGGAACAGACACCUCAGAAGGGGCUGCCUGGUGCCGUCAAGGUCGGGAGGCCAAGGCCAAGGACCAGGCCGUGUCCUGAACGACACAUCCUAUAACGAGGAACUUGGCCCCCGAAUUGCUGGACAGCCCCGGGCUCCCUUUCACCUGUUCGGUACUCGCUUACUGCGUAAAAGAGGCGCAGGCAGAAUGUGCUUGCUGCCGUAUCAGUAUCUGCUUUUCUGCCAGAACCCGGAAGCAAAGUGAGACCUUUCAGUGAUCUUUCCAGAGCGACUUGACACGACCACCCCACCCUGGCGGCUGAAACUCACAGGACCACAGAGCUCCCAGCAAAGCAGUGCUGCCGCGGAGUUUUCAUGAAAUUAAAAACAACAACUCUGAUCCCAAAGACGUCCCGCGGCCCGACGGCACCAUCCUGUUCAUCACCGCCUUAGAGGCACCGGACCUUUCUACUGACGCACGGCGACGACCACCUGCCCGCUGCAGGCCAGCAAACGGCGCUGAGAACAAGCCCCGUUCGCAGGGCCACGUUCCGUUCCGGCUCUGUCCCCUGACCCUCUGGCAAAGCCACAUGCUGUCCUCACAGCUUCUGGGAGA
rnacentral:lncRNA from 1 species